rnacentral:rRNA from 1 species
AACGAACGCUGGCGGCAUGCCUAACACAUGCAAGUCGAACGAGACCUUCGGGUCUAGUGGCGCACGGGUGCGUAACGCGUGGGAACCGGCCGUUAUGUUCGGAAUAACUCAGAGAAAUUUGAGCUAAUACCGGAUGAUGUCUUCGGAUCAAAGAUUUGUCGCCUUUAGAUGGGCCCGCGUUGGAUUAGCUUGUUGGGGUGGUAAAGGCCUACCAAGGCGACGAUCCAUAGCUGGUCUGAGAGGAUGAUCAGCCACACUGGGACUGAGACACGGCCCAGACUCCUACGGGAGGCAGCAGUGGGGAAUCUUGGAAAAUGGGCGAAAGCAUGAUCCAGCACUGCCGCGUGAGUGAUGAAGGCCUUAGGGUUGUAAAGCUCUUUUACACGAGAUGAUAAUGACAGUAUCGGGAGAAUAAGCUCCGGCUAACUCCGUG